ACAGGCACAAAGGAGAGGCAAGGUGCAAGGUGGAGAAAGGAGAGAAUUGCUGACCUCAGGGUGAGUCAGUGCGGGAAGGGGCAGGAGCGCGGGAUGCCUUGGGUCUCUUGGUUCUUCCAGAUCAUCUUAAAUUGACGGGAGUGACAGCAGCUCUGGGAAACGAAUCUCCUUUCUAUCACCAGAAGAUAUGCAACUCCAGCAUAAGCGUUUUCAUGCCGUUCUGCCAAGUUGCAGAUUUGAUCUCUUCUGAGCUCCUUGCAGCAUCUGGACUAUUGGGACUUUGAAUUCUGCAGGCUGCUACCAUUCAUUUCCCAGGAUCGUACCUGCCCUUUUUCUCCUCACUGCCUCCCACGCUCCCCUUCCCUCCGAAAAGACUC
rnacentral:lncRNA from 1 species